rnacentral:rRNA from 1 species
UACAGAGGUGGCAAGCGUUGUUCGGAAUUACUGGGCGUAAAGGGCGCGUAGGCGGCCUUGUCAGUCAGACGUGAAAUCCCCAGGCCUAACCUGGGAACUGCGUCUGAUACUACAAGGCUGGAGUGCGGGAGAGGGAUGUGGAAUUCCAGGUGUAGCGGUGAAAUGCGUAGAUAUCUGGAGGAACACCGGUGGCGAAGGCGGCAUCCUGGACCGACACUGACGCUGAGGCGCGAAAGCUAGGGGAGCAAACGGG